GGUAUAUAAAACAAGUGCAAGCGCAGGACGCUAGGACAUUGCCUAUCCAGUCGUCCUCUGGUAAUCCUGUGAUUUCCAGAGCCCCAACCGUACCCCUUUUUUUGGUAUUAUCAAAGUAACCUUUACAUCAGCAGGUAUGCCAGGUAACGACAGAAGUUUGGGUGAUUUCACUACAAAGAGGGUUAAGGUGGUGAAUGUGAAUGUGAGGAAGGUGAUCAAAUGGAAGGGUCCUCGAACGGGACCGCCAAAACCCGCACUCCCAGCAGGCGCAUCUAAGGCGGGCUUUGAAAAGCGUAACUGACCACGGUGAAGAAGGCAACCGUAUCAGGAGCAGUUCUUCGGUGGUCUCCACCUCUUACAGGGCUGAGCAGACCAGUGCUCCAGUUCUCACCAGUAGAUUGAAUAUUCAGUUUUAUCACUAAUAUGAUCGGCAACUUACUGAAAAUUUUCUAUAGAAAUGAAUUGUGAUAACUUCAUUGCUGCUGAUGUUAUUCGAAGAUGUUUGCCAUGCAUUCCAACGUAGAUUUGAAUGUUCAACUUGGGGCUUCAUAUAAAUGAAAUAGUUCUAACACUACGAAAUUAUGUUCAUUUUCCAUCAUUUUGAGCCGCUAAAACAGUUACGUAUCUUUAAUAUGAAGAAAAUUCUUCUCUAAUGCAGGUCAUAUGUUUCUUCACUACUAUAUAUCUUCACUUCUUUCGUGAUUCGGUGAAUAAAUUUUUCCUUUUUAG
rnacentral:lncRNA from 1 species